GAUGAACGCUGGCGGCGUGCCUAAUACAUGCAAGUCGAGCGAACAGACGAGGAGCUUGCUCCUCUGACGUUAGCGGCGGACGGGUGAGUAACACGUGGAUAACCUACCUAUAAGACUGGGAUAACUUCGGGAAACCGGAGCUAAUACCGGAUAAUAUAUUGAACCGCAUGGUUCAAUAGUGAAAGACGGUUUUGCUGUCUCUUAUAGAUGGAUCCGCGCCGCAUUAGCUAGUUGGUAAGGUAACGGCUUAUCAAGGCAACGAUGCGUAGCCGACCUGCGAGAGUGAUCGGCCACACUGGAACUGAGACACGGUCCAGACUCCUACGGGAGGCAGCAGUAGGGAAUCUUCCGCAAUGGGCGAAAGCCUGACGGAGCAACGCCGCGUGAGUUAUGAAGGUCUUCGGAUCGUAAAACUCUGUUAUUAGGGAAGAACAAAUGUGUAAGUAACUAUGCACGUCUUGACGGUACCUAAUCAGAAAGCCACGGCUAACUACGUG
rnacentral:rRNA from 1 species